rnacentral:lncRNA from 11 species
GAAGUAUAGCGUUGUUAUAGAACACACAGCCUGGAAGGAUGCCUUUUGAUGCCAGCUUGGCUCCCAAGUGCAGAAGCAUGAAAGAUUGCCUACACACGAGAGACAAGCAGACAUAGAUGAUUGGUCCUCCAUAUCCACGGCUUCUACACCCAUGAAUGCAAUCAUCC